rnacentral:rRNA from 1 species
AUACGGAGGAUGCGAGCGUUAUCCGGAUUUAUUGGGUUUAAAGGGAGCGUAGGCGGGAGCUUAAGUCAGCGGUUAAAUGGUGCGGCUCAACCGUGCCCUGCCGUUGAAACUGGGUUUCUUGAGAGUGCAAGAGGCGGAUGGAAUUCAUGGUGUAGCGGUGAAAUGCUUAGAUAUCAUGAAGAACUCCGAUUGCGAAGGCAGUCCGCUGGGGCACGUCUGACGCUGAUGCUCGAAGGUGCGGGAAUCAAACAGGAUUAGAUACCCUGGUAGUCCGCACGGUAAACGAUGAUUACUAGCUGUUUGCGAAACAAUGUAAGCGGCUGAGCGAAAGCGUUAAGUAAUCCACCUGGGGAGUACGUUCGCAAGAAUGAAACUCAAAUGAAUUGGCGGGG